rnacentral:rRNA from 1 species
AUUGAACGCUGGCGGCAGGCCUAACACAUGCAAGUCGAGCGGUAGCACAGGGAGCUUGCUCCUGGGUGACGAGCGGCGGACGGGUGAGUAAUGUCUGGGAAACUGCCUGAUGGAGGGGGAUAACUACUGGAAACGGUAGCUAAUACCGCAUAACGUCGCAAGACCAAAGAGGGGGACCUUCGGGCCUCUUGCCAUCAGAUGUGCCCAGAUGGGAUUAGCUAGUAGGUGGGGUAACGGCUCACCUAGGCGACGAUCCCUAGCUGGUCUGAGAGGAUGACAAGCCACACUGGAACUGAGACACGGUCCAGACUCCUACGGGAGGCAGCAGUGGGGAAUAUUGCACAAUGGGCGCAAGCCUGAUGCAGCCAUGCCGCGUGUAUGAAGAAGGCCUUCGGGUUGUAAGGUACUUUCAGCGGGGAGGAAGGCGAUAAGGUUAAUAACCUUGUCGAUUGACGUUACCCGCAGAAGAAGCACCGGCUAACUCCGUGCCAGCAGCAGCCGCCG